UCAUUUUGCGUCAUCAUGUGUGGUCACCAGUUUACGAUAUCUUAAAACAUGUAAGUGGUAAUACUUUAUGUAUAUUUCAAUCUGCUGACUGUAGUCUUUUCUUCUUGUUAUUGUUACAGUGAAUUUCCUAAUGAUUUUGUUGCCAGCUAGCAACUGUACAGUUGCUUGACAUCCAGAGAUAAGGAGAUGGCUCACUCCACGUAAAGCCCAGCAGUCGACAUUUUCCCUCCUCCCCCUCUCUAGCAGACGAAUUCGACUGCGCUGCUCCUUUCGGCCAGCUCCGGAAUCGUGGCUGUACUUGGCGGUAAGGACGGUAUGGUUUAAAACGUGAAGGGGGAGCGCCACUGGGAAAUCCUUACCGCCAAGUACAGCCAUGAUUCCGGAGCUGGCCGAAAGGAGCAGCGCAGUCGAAUUCGUCUGCUAGAGAGGGGGAGGAGGGAAAAUGUCGACUGCUGGGCUUUACGUGGAGUGAGCCAUCUCCUUAUCUCUGUUGACAUCAUUUGCAUCAUUAUUGUUGGUCACCAGUCUACGAUAACUGAAAACAUGAUUUUGUUGCCAGUGAGCAACUAUACAGUUGCUUGACAUCAUUUGCAUAAUUAUUGUUGGUCAGUAGACUACAAUACCUUAACACAUUUUAUUUCUCAAGGAUUAUGCCAUUACUUAACUGUUACUACAGUUGCUUGACUCAUUUGCAUUAUUAUUGAUGGUCACGAUACUGUGAUAACUGAACACAUAUUAACCAAAAUAGUAAUUGUGAAGACGUGGACGAUGGCAAGGAUUACACUGUCCUUGUCUUGGAAAAAAGGAUUCGACGGAAAUACUGUGAUAACGGUUGAUAUGGACUCGGUCAUCUCGAAUAAAACGCCGUCUUCUGAAAUGUACAAUUCGCAACAAUUCGUAGAGAUUGCAAGAGCGACGACGAUGAUACGCUGAAUAGAUGUCAUCGUGGUAGAUAAAUAUAUUGGUGAGAUUCUGUCGAAAGUACAAUAGUAUAAAUGAAAACAAAAUUGGGACGCUCCUGUAAUAGGCAUGCUUAAAAAGUUCUAGCAACAUACUACACAUUAUGAUUGAAACACGGAUAUGUACACGUCCUACAUACGGAUCGAUGAAAGCAGUAUCCAAUGGCAUU